rnacentral:rRNA from 2 species
UCCUGAGUAGAGUGGCGCACGGGUGAGUAACACGUAGAUAAUCUACCUCCAAGCCCGGGAUAACUAUUCGAAAGGAUAGCUAAUACCGGAUGAAGUGAUUUACCACAAGAUAAAUCAUGAAAGAUUGCCUCUUCUUGAAAGCAAUUGUUUGGAGAUGAGUUUGCGGACCAUUAGUUAGUUGGUGGGGUAAAGGCCUACCAAGACUACGAUGGUUAGCUGGUCUGAGAGGAUGAUCAGCCACACUGGAACUGGUACACGGUCCAGACUCC